AUGGCAAAGUUAAUAAGGGCGCACGGUGGAUGCCUUGGCACUAAGAGCCGAUGAAGGACGUGACUAACGACGAUAUUCUAGGGGGAGCAGUAAGUACGCAUUGAUCCCUAGGUCUCCGAAUGGGGAAACCCAGCUGCUACUAGCAGUUAUUCAUGAGUGAAUACAUAGCUCAUGUAAAGGUAACGCAGAGAACUGAAACAUCUAAGUACCUGCAGGAAGAGAAAGUAAAAACGAUUUCGUAAGUAGCGGCGAGCGAACGCGAAGAAGGGCAAACCAAGAAGCUUGCUUCUUGGGGUUGUAGGACUGCAACGUGGACUUAAGCAUUAUAGUCGAAUAACCUGGGAAGGUUAAUCAAAGAGGGUAAUAAUCCCGUAGACGAAAUAGCGCUUAUACCUAGCAGUAUCCUGAGUAGGGCUGGACACGCGAAAUCCAGUUUGAAUCCGGGAGGACCAUCUCCCAACCCUAAAUACUCCUUAGUGACCGAUAGUGAACCAGUACCGUGAGGGAAAGGUGAAAAGAACCCCGAGAGGGGAGUGAAAUAGCACCUGAAACCGUGUGCCUACAAGAAGUUCGAGCCCGUUAAUGGGUGAGAGCGUGCCUUUUGUAGAAUGAACCGGCGAGUUACGUUAUGAUGCGAGGUUAAGUUGAAGAGACGGAGCCGUAGGGAAACCGAGUCUGAAUAGGGCGACUUAGUAUCAUGAUGUAGACCCGAAACCUAGUGACCUAUCCAUGAGCAGGGUGAAGGUGUGGUAAGACACACUGGAGGCCCGAACCAGGACACGUUGAAAAGUGUUUGGAUGACUUGUGGAUAGCGGAGAAAUUCCAAACGAACUGGGAGAUAGCUGGUUCUCUCCGAAAUAGCUUUAGGGCUAGCGUCGAAAUGUAAGUGUAUUGGAGGUAGAGCACUGUUUGGGUGAGGGGUCCGUCUAGGAUUACCAAUCUCAGAUAAACUCCGAAUGCUAAUACACAUGUUCGGCAGUCAGACUGCGAGUGCUAAGAUCCGUAGUCGAAAGGGAAACAGCCCAGACCAACAGCUAAGGUCCCAAAAUAUAUGUUAAGUGGAAAAGGAUGUGGGGUUGCACAGACAACUAGGAUGUUAGCUCAGAAGCAGCUAUCAUUCAAAGAGUGCGUAAUAGCUCACUAGUCGAGUGACCCUGCGCCGAAAAUGUACCGGGGCUAAACAUAUUACCGAAGCUUUGGAUUGAUAUUUUAUCAAUGGUAGGAGAGCGUUCUUAACCGCGAUGAAGGUAUACCGUGAGGAGUGCUGGAGCGUUAAGAAGUGAGAAUGCCGGUAUGAGUAGCGCAAGAUAAGUGAGAAUCUUAUCCACCGUAAGACUAAGGUUUCCAGGGGAAGGCUCGUCCGCCCUGGGUUAGUCGGGACCUAAGGCGAGGCCGAAAGGCGUAGUCGAUGGACAACUGGUUGAUAUUCCAGUACUAGAUAUGAUCGUGAUGGAGGGACGCAGUAGGCUAAGAGAUGCCAGUUAAUGGAUUCUGGUCUAAGCAGUGAGGUGUGAGAUGUGUCAAAUGCAUUUCUCUUUAACAUUGAGCUGUGAUGGGGAAGCAACUACGGUUGCGAACUCUCUGAUGUCACACUGCCAAGAAAAGCUUCUAGCGUAAAGUCAUAUCUACCCGUACCGCAAACCGACACAGGUAGUCGAGGCGAGUAGCCUCAGGUGAUCGAGAGAACUCUCGUUAAGGAACUCGGCAAAAUAGCCCCGUAACUUCGGGAGAAGGGGUGCUGGUGUAAAAGCCAGCCGCAGUGAAUAGGCCCAAGCAACUGUUUAUCAAAAACACAGCUCUCUGCUAAACCGCAAGGUGAUGUAUAGGGGGUGACGCCUGCCCGGUGCUGGAAGGUUAAGAGGAGUGCUUAGACGUAAGUCGAAGGUAUGAAUUGAAGCCCCAGUAAACGGCGGCCGUAACUAUAACGGUCCUAAGGUAGCGAAAUUCCUUGUCGGGUAAGUUUCCGACCCGCACGAAAGGCGUAAUGAUUUGGGCACUGUCUCAACGAGAGACUCGGUGAAAUUUUAGUACCUGUGAAGAUGCAGGUUACCCGCGACAGGACGGAAAGACCCCAUGGAGCUUUACUGUAGUUUGAUAUUGAGUACCUGUAAGUCAUGUACAGGAUAGGUAGGAGCCAUUGAA
rnacentral:rRNA from 1 species